GUCAAUCAGAGAUCCAGACAUAAACGUAACAUAAGCUUCCCUGGCCUGAACCAUCUCGGUAACUGGCAAACACAACUCUGCUACCUCUAACAGGGCAUGCCUCCAAGCAUGACAACUGAGGCCAAGAGAAAACUAGCUUGGAGAUGUAGAGUUCUUCCUUUCAGAUAUAGACACAUUAACACAUUCAACAAAGUAAAAAAGAAAAAAAUAAUAAUCAAGAUAAGUUUACAAACAUUAAACAAUAUGAUUAACAUAUACAAUCACAAUGACUUUUUCUCUGUUUACUAAUGAAUUUCAAAUCAUAAAAUAAAUCAAUCUAUAUGCAGAUGAUGAGGGUAAUUCCAAUUAGUCCCUUUUCAUGAUGUGAAGCCAUAUAAAUGGAAUCCCACAAAAAAAAAAAAGGACAAAUCCCGCAAAAACCCUUUAAAUCUACAAUUCAAAUCAAAGAAAUCCCAGAAACCACGAUGCAUUGUAUUAGACUAUUUCAGCAAGAAGAAACAUUAGGAACUAAAAUAAAGAAACAAUAAGCGAAAACAUCAAAAACCCACAUAGAUUUUUCCUUUAAAAGUGACAGUGAGGACCAUUCCACGAGCAUUUUGGUCAAUGAUGAGCUGUACAAAGGCCACUGAAGAAGCAGAGAGCCAGAAGCCCUAAGCAUUGUCUUUCUUGCGAGGCUGGAGAGUGGGACACGUUGAUGAUGGGAGAGAAGGGAAAUUGAAGAAGCGAGAGUAGUGUAUCUGCCAUUGCUCUUUCUUGGUGAUUGGGGUUCCAUCCUUAGGGUUUUGCAGUUGUUGGGUUCCCACCAUUUCUUUGACUCUCUUCUUUUACAAUCUCUCAAUUUUCCCCCCUCUCUUUUUUUUUGUCUACUUGCUAUUAGGGCUGAGCAUUUCCGGUUCGGUCCGGUUUUGAACCAAAAUAAACAACCAAACCGAAUUAUUAUUUUUUUAAUUUUUUGAACCGAACUGAACCGAAAACCGGUUCAAACCGAUUAAUUUCGGUUCGGUUCGGUUCGGUUUUUUUCCCUUCCAAACCGGUUCAAACCCAAUGGUCCUCUCUACUUCUCCUGCAAUCUCAUACAGCAGAUCCCAAGUUGCUGGAGGUGAAGACCCAUUCGGGCUUCCACGGCUAGAUCCUUGUCUACAACUGCACCCAACCUUGCAAAUCAGGCAAAAAACCCAAGACCCGAACAUUAGCCCUAGAAAACAUAAUCACAGAAACCAGAGCAGGUUGUUCUACUUUAAAAAGAAACAUAAAGGAAGCAAUACCUUAGUCUUUUCGGUGCUGCAAGGGAGGUCGUUUUUCUUAAAAUCAUCUUCAAGGGUGGAGUGGGCCAUUUGAUGAGUUAACUCAGCCAAGUACUCUUCUUCAUCACUCUCUGUCUCAGUAGAGCCAACGAUGACCAACUUUUUUUGCUUUGAUUUUCACCAGCCAGAGAGUGAAGGGAGAGAGAUGCAGAGAAGGGAAGAGAGGGGAGGAGGGCGGCCCCCACCAGCCAGAGAGUGAAAUGAGAGAGAUGCAGAGAAGGGAGGGAGGGGGGAGAGUAAAGUGAGAGUGAAAUGAGAGAGAUGCAGAGGGGGCGGCGGCUUAAUGUUAUUCUAGGGUUAGAAAAGAUUGUAUUUAUACUUGCUUUUUUUUUUUAAGUGCUGGCUGGUUGAACCGGUUCGGUUCAGUCCGGUUCAAUCGAUUUUUUAAUCGGUUAAUUCGAUUUUUUUUUCGGGUUUUCUCGGUUUAAUCGGUUUAUCGGUUUUUUUGCUCACCCCUACUUGCUAUGUUUCUUCCGUUGGCCUCCAACUUCAGUCACUAUCUACUGAUCAUCUUUUUUUUUUUUAAUUGUAUUUUUCUAAUUGAAAAAAAAUCAUAACACAAAAUCUAGAUCCAAUGCAUAUUAAAUGAUUUUUAGAUAUUAAAUUGAUGAUAUAUUGAAUAAUAAUUUUUUAAUAUUGAAACGUGAUAUAUUAAGUUGUCCAACAUCAAUCUUGAUUAAUCCAUAAAAUUCAUGAUUUAAGUUAUGUGACCGUGAUAACUCUAUAAAAAAUAUCAAAACAAAUCAUAAACUUCAAUUCUCAAUCAAUUCAAUAUUGAAUAGUGAAAAAAUAAAUAAAUUAAAAUAAAACAUAAAAAUAAACAACUCAAGAUAAAAGAUAAAAAUAAACAACUCAAGUCAGCUCGAGUAAAUCUGUCAAACUUAUGAUAUAGAUCAUGAGAACAUAAUAACCUAUAAAAAGCAAAUAAAAAAAUUAUGAAUGUCAAUUCUCAACCAACCUAAUGUUGAAGGAUGAAAUUGAAAAAAAAAUUAAUAAAAAAAAUAUGAAAAACAACUCAAGUCAACCCUGAUUAACUUGUCAAACAAACAACCUAUGUCAUGAUAUUAGGAUUACCCCAUAGAAAGAAAAUUAAAAAAAAAAUAUAAAGCUCAAUCAUCAACCAACUCGAUGUUGAAUGAUGAAAUUUGAAAGAAAAUCAAUUAAAAAAAACAAAUAGCAAUUAAAAAAAUGAGAUCAUAUUUAACACAAAACAAACUAAUAGGCCAUUUUUCUAUUUUUGAAGAGGGUUAGACGCAGAAAUCAAAGAGAUAAGAGAUAAGAGGGAAAAGAGAUGGGAGAAAAAAAAAUGGGUCUACACUGGAGUUUUACUAUCCCCACAUGUCGCCUCAUGAGGAAGCCACUGCUUAGACAAUUUCAAAGAUUUCAAGGAAGGCCAUCAGUGAAUCUUGAAGGAAGCCACACAAGCCACCAUAUCAUGGUAGUAUCUUGUAUGUGUUAGCACGUGUGUUAGACACGACCAACCCUCCACUUGAAUUCUUAGCUUAGAAAAAAAUGUUAAAUAUUUUUUUUAAUUUCAAAUUUGAUCUUUAAAUAUUUCAAUUGUUUCAAAUCAAUAAAAUUGCAUUAUAUUUUACAAAACCGAGCAGCAACCAAGCUUCAAACUUUUUCCCUAACAUUGUAAAAAACCAACACCAAGCUAUUUGAAAUAAACCAUCAUGUCUAAUUCCACAUCAAUUCAAUGUGAAAUGAUCAAAUUGAAAAAAAAAAGUGGAUUACUAAUACAAUCCAGAGUGAUUUGUGUUUGGUGCUAUAAUGUAAAGGUGUCAUAAUAAAACCUCAAAAGUUUUUAGUUUCUUGAACUUGAAACUUAAAACUAAAUGUCUCCUCGUAAAAACUUGUGAAAAUAAGGUAGAUUUUCCUAAAUCCAAGUUUAACAUUUUGAUAAGAGAACAACGAAUGUCAGUGAUAUAGUAUUACCCAUGUUAUUACUUGAUCACACAAAGGAAAAAAAAUAAUUGCAUUGAAUGCAUGCCACCUUUCUGUCUCUUAAAAGACUCUCUUUCAAUGAGGACAACCACUUGACCACAUUUUUAAAUGAGGAGAAGCAACUUGGCCACAAGAAUCUCAACAGUUAUGCUUAUGAUAGUCUAUCUCAAGGUAAAGGUAAGAAAAAUCUCUCAUUAAAGCUGACAACAUUUUAAGUCUUUACAUAUUUAAUACAUAAAAACUUGGGGGUACUAAUGGAUCAACAUAUUUUUAAAAUUUAAUUUUUAGUCUAAGUCCAUAUAUAAAAGAACCCAAUGCAAGGUGAUAACGUAAUGAUAGGAGGGUAGGGGCUUACAUCCAUACCCAACAUCCUUAGGCUUGGCAGAAUAUCAGGCUAGAUGACAUGGUUCUGGCUUGCUUUCAAAUCCAAUAUUCUUAAGUUUAUAUAGCAACGUGUUGAGCAUAGACGGACAUGGGUCUGGCAAGGUGCCAGACCCAAUAUCCUUGGAUUCGGUCAUAUGCUAAGCCUAAAUGAACAUUAGUCUGGCAAAUUACCAGGCCCAACGUCCUUGGGUUUUGUUACGCGCUGAACCCAAGUACAUAUGGGUCUGACGAGCUAUCAGAUCCAACAUCCUUUGAUUCACUUAUGUACUCAUCCCAAGUACACAGGUCUGCCGAGCUGCCACACCCAAUGUCCUUAGUUUCACCUACGCACUGAGCCCAAACAAACAUGGGUUUAAUGAUCUGUUAGACCCAACAUCAUUGGGUUCAGCUACGUGCUAAGCCUAAGUAUACAUGGGUCUGACAAGCUUCCAAACCAAAUGUCCUUGGGUUCAGAUAUGGGCUGAGCCCAAGUACACACAGGUCUGACGAGCUACCAGACCCAACGUCCUUGGGUUCAGCUACGCCUGAGCCUAAACAUAUAUAGGUUGAUGAACUGUUAGAUCAAAUAUUCUUGGGUUUAGCUAUGCGCUGAACCUAAGUACAUAGAGGUUUAGUGAGCUAUCAGACCCAACGUUCUUGAGUUCAGCUACGUGAUGAGCCUAAGUACACAAGGGUAUGACAAGCUGCUAAACCCAACAUCUUUGGGUUCAACUACGCACUGAGCCCAGUUACACAUGGACCUGAUGAGCUACCAAACUCAAUAUCACUAGGUUUAGCUACGUGCUGAGCCCGACAGACAUGGAUCUAGCAUGCUACUAGACUCACUGCCCGUGGGCUUAACAUCGUGCCAAGUUCAAGUGGGUAUGCGUCCGAUGAUUAUUAUAGGCCCCAUAUUAAACCAUAAGGCUUCAUUUGUUUAUUCUUAUGACUCCUUAACAUCAAAUGUUAAUGUCAAUAAUACUCAUCUCUCUACACCUCUAGGUGUAUAAAAGUCUUCCAAAGAUCUACCAUAUUUCCAUUAACAUUAAUAUUAUAUAAGAGAUAUUUGUUGCUCAUUAAUGCUAUUAGAAGGAAACGACUCUCUAGCCCCUUAACUCCAGCAAAAAUGACAAGGUUGGGGGACUAUAAAUAAAUAAAUGGUUCAUAAUUUUUAUUAUCUAAGUAUUCAUACUUUAAUUCUCAAAUUAAGCAUUUAUCGUAUAAAAAUAAGAACAAACUCUCUUGUUCUUAGAAUUUAAAUCUCAUUCUCUCAUUUAUUACAAUCUUAUACUAAAAAUUAGUGAUUUUAUCAUCUAAAGAUCCCUAGAUCCCACCAAAAUGGAUUAUUUUAUAGGUGUUAGGUCUUUUACCACCAACCAUCUACUUUGUAAGUUCUGGAAAAGGAAAUAUUAACGUGAACAUAUAAUUACACACUAUCCAAAUACUAAAAAAACCUCAUAGCAUAUUGAAUUUUAGAAUAUAUAUAUAUAUAUCAUGCAAAAUCACAGGCUUCAUAUUUCUUUUGUUAAGAAAACAAAUCGAGGCAGGAUGGAAUUCAAGUAAAAAAAAAAAAGAUACUAAAAUAUAAUGUUGUUUCUUAGCUAUACCAGCUUAAAUUAUAGAAGCAAUAACUAUCAAUCCAAUUGUUGUAAAGAAUGUCGAUAUGUAAGCCCUUUCCAAAGGUCGAGGACAGGACUACUCAACCAGAUUUCUCAAAGGAAAAAACCGUCCACAGACUUGAUUCAUAGUCCAAACUUGCCUUAGUCUUUUGUUUUAGAAUUAACAGGACUAAAAAAAUGGAUUUAAUCUCUAUACGUGUUUAAGUUAAUCUAAAGAUAUCAUUUGCUAAAAAAAAUGAAAACUAAAGAUGACUGAAAGUAUUUGAACAUUACUAUGUUUUUUCCUAGCACUGAAAGCUUUACUUUUGGAGCAAGUAAUUUCAUAUAUUCUUCCAUAGUUAUCCAUGUCUUUAAGAAUAAUUAAAAAAAAAAAAUAAUGAUAAAAGAUACACAAUUCUGAGAUUUGUAAAAUCUUCGCAAUUGUCGUAUGAAAUGAAAUGGACGGAUAUUACAAGGCUUAUAUGGCAAUAUCACGAAGCCGGCAUAAAAGUCAAGAAUUGCUCAUCUUUCACUGGCGUCUUCGGCAAGGUGAAUAAGGGGAAAGACCUUGACUAUAUAAUAUAAAUCAUUAACCUGUAUCUUCUCAACUUUGAGUAAACCAAGUUUUAUGUAGAAUUCAAAAAAAUGGCGGAAGCUACAGUAAUUUUUUUCCUACAGAGACUGGAGUCUCUAUUACUUCGAGAGACUGAAACCUUCACCGGACUCGAAGAUCAAAUGAAAAUGGUAAAGGGAACAAUCAAGGAGAUUGGAUGCUUCUAUGGAGAUAGAGGCAAUACUGAAGGCAAUGCUGCUUUUUCUAGGUGGGAAACUGAACUUAAGAAUUUAUUUGAUGACUUGGAUGAUCAUGUUGAUGAGUUUGUUAUUCAGAUGGAUCAGCAACAAGGGUCUGAUAGGUUGGGAUUGAUAGAUUGCUUCAGAGCUGAACUGCAGAAGAUAGAAUCUCGACUUGCUGAAACCACUCACAAAAUGAAAGAACUCAAGAAUUCAAGCACCACUGCAGGUGGCAUGGGAGAAAAAAGUGAUAUCAAGGAGCAAUCUCACGGAGAGGAAGAAGUUCAGACAGAAGUUGAUUCGAUUGCCAGUGAAGCAGAGAAGGAAGAGAAUGAAGGUAACAGAGAACAAUCUGAUGGAGACAAAGAAGGUCAGACAUCGGUUGAGUCUUCUUCUGUUCCAUUCAGAUUAAAAUACAAUAGCUUACCUUAUUACCUUAGAUCUUGUCUGAUGUAUUGUUGCAUCUUCCCUGAGAAUUACGGGAUAGCUAAGGGGAGAUUGAUCCGAUUGUUGGUAGCCGAAGGUCUGAUACAAGAAAAAGCUGGUCAAAUAGUGGAGGAUGUAGCAGAGGAAAAUAUAAAUGAUCUUGUGAGCCAGGGAAUGCUUCUAGUAAAUGAUGACCUCCGAGAUAAUGGAACUAAUUAAAGUCACUGUUUUCUCUCCUUAUCGUGUGUUCCUUCGCGAUAGCUACAUAACAGCUCAUCCUGAUUCAGACUUUUCCAUUCCACGUAAAGCACGCCGUAUUUUAACUCCAGAUAUGACGAAAGUUGCACAGAGUUUAAACAAUAUCCAACCCCGGUCUUUAUUCUUGUUCGGGAAGCAAGAACUUUCUGGCGAGAACUGGCUGAAUUUCGAAGGGGCAAAAUUCUUACGGGUGCUAGAUCUAGAAGAUGCCAAGAUCAGGAGAUUACCAGAUGAAGUGGCAGACCUGAUUCACCUGGCAUACCUUGGAUUGAAGAACAAUGACAUAAAUGAGCUUCCAGAUAGACUUGGUAAUUUGCGAGCACUACAGAGUUUGGAUAUUAGAUGGUGUGGAGACUUGACAGAACUAUCAACCGAGAUCCUAAAGCUUGUAAGACUGAGGCACCUCAAAAUGUUCAAGAGCAGAAAUGUUAGCGGAAUGAAGCUACCAGGGGGGGUAGGUACACUUGGAAGCCUCCUGACCCUUACUGGUGUACAUGCCGGUGGCGAAAUUGCAGGAGAACUAAGGAAGCUGACACAGCUAAGAAGGCUGGGAGUGAUGGAUGUUGCGGAAGAGAAUGCAAACGAGCUAUAUGCUUCUAUAAUGGUGAUGCAGGGUCUUCUUUCCCUAUCUCUAGAAGCAAAGCACACUUUUGACCAAGGUCACCUUGUCCUCCGGGAUUCAUUCUCACCGCCGUCUAUUCUUAGGAAACUCCGCCUUGAAGGUCUUCUAGAAAAAACACCAAACUGGCUUGGUUCAAUGGAAAGUCUUACAAAGCUGAGGCUAGGUUUUUCUCAUUUAUCUGAGAAUCCAACAUUAGUUCUUCAGGUCCUACCUAAUUUGGAAAAACUAACCUUAUGGCAUGCUUAUGAUGGAAGGCAGUUAGGAAAAGAUUUCUGUAAGCCUGGUGGAUUUCCCAAGCUUGAGGUUCUCAUAAUUGCCUCUCGUGUUCUUGAGGAAUGGACAGAGCUUGAGGAAGGAGCUCUACCAAGAUUAAAGUAUCUUCACUUCCAUAACUGCUUGAAUCUGAGGAUGCUCCCUGAAGGUUUGCAAUUUGUCACUACAGUGGAGGAACUGGUUUUGCUGCCUUUGCUUGAUGAGCAUGAAGAAAGAUUGAAACCUGAUGGUGGGUUAGAAAAUUACAAGAUUCGGAACAUUCCAAAGAUAACAUUCAUCCCUGCAUCUGUGGUGGCUUCUAGGUUCAAUGAAAGGUUCAGCACUCCCCCAACCCCAGCAACUGAUAAAGAAUGAACUCAUCUAGCAUAGUGACAUGUUUCUGUUAUUUCAGCAUGCAGUUUUAUGCAGGUGGUUCUAAUUUACAUAUUUACCAACAGUGUUAUUUAAGAAUAAAUUCAUGUGGUGGCCACUAUUUCAAUAACCUCCCUUUAAUUUAUUGAUGAGUUAAUGUCGUCUAGAUAAUAGUGUUGGAUUUCUCGAAAUAUAUACACACAGUAAAAAUAGUAAAUUUAAAAUUUUUUCAAGUGUCCUAAGAGUCUUGUUAGACAUAUCUAUAAUUGUUUAGAGUUUAUACAAAGAUGACUUAAAAAUCAUAUAUUAUUUUCAGCUAGGUUAUCAUAAACCACAAGUCAUUCAAGUGUCCGGUCUCUAAUGGUAAUCCACACGAAUCACCGAUAAGAAAUUUCUUAAACCCUUUUAGGUGAGAUGGAUUGUUAUACCUUUGAGUGAUAACUCUUUUUUUUUUUUUUGUGUUUUAGGUCUUUAUAUAUUGUACUCUAUUCGUAGAAAAUAAAAAACAUAACUGUUUAUUUGUAGGUAUACCUAAAAACCCUAUAAAUGACAAAGUAUGUAUGGAACUUCAUUCCUUGAUUAAACUACUUCUUUCUAUUCAUCCUCAUUAGAGUUUUCAGCUAUAUUAUCAUCUAGAAGAGAAAAUGCUCAUCUAAUAGACCUUUUAACCUUAUUUUUUAGGACUAGAAGCAUCAUGUCUAUUAAUCAUCUUAGUACUCAAUUUAUUCAUCUUUCUCAUUAAACCCUCCAUUAUUACCUCUAACAUAUCUUAUCUUCGAUUACAUAACACUUUUUGAUGACAUUGUGAAUUCCUGCAAUAAAGGUUCGUACCAAGAAAAAACUUUCUCGCACACUCCCUCGAGUGUUUACACUCAAUUUAAUAUCACUUUACUCAUAUUUCACACAAUUCGAUCGAGCUUUUUCACUCUAAUUAUCUUACAAUGUCCUUUACUUCAUUAUUUCUUUACUUAGGUUCUUAAAGGUAAUUUAGGAACUUAUCAAAUAAUAAAUCAAAACAACGUAAUGAUUUUAUAUUAAUAAAAACUCAAGAAUCAAGAAAUAUACAAAACUAAUCAAAAUAAAACUUGAGAACAAAUUUAUGUAUAACAAUGUGAAUUCAUGCGAAAUAUAAUGACGAAAAGAAUACAUGAAAUAAAAGCAAUGAAAUUUAUAUUAAAGAUUAAAAAAAACUAACUAAUUCAAGAAGUCAAACUUCAAUUUCAAGAAUCUUAAGAAAACAAUUAAAAUAAAGUAAGAAAGAUCUAUACUAUCCAAAUUUAAAUGAAACAAGGUAAGAUAAUCCAAGAAAAACAAGAAUUUAAUUUGCCAAAACCAUGAUUUGGUAUGUACCUAUUUGAUAAAGAAAACACUCAAAAAACUUUCAGCCAACCCUAAAAUCUAAGGGCUUUUAUUCGAUUAUGCCCUAACUUGUCAAUUCAAUAAAUUAUUGCAAUUUUUCCUUCAACUUUUUCUCUUUCUCUUAUGCACACAAUUCGGCAAGAACAAGACUUCAUUUUGUUUUUUUAUACUCUAGGUUGAAAUCAAGAAAGAUAAAAGAUGAAGAAUAAGAACACAUUUUUUCUUUGAUGUGUUCGACAAAAUAAUUUAAAAAAUUAGGCAUAAUGAUUUUUUAUAUAUAGGCCUUGACAUAAGCUUUGAAAUAAUUAGAGAAUAAUAGACUUUGUUUUUUUUUAAAAAAUAAGACCCUAGCCAAAACUAGAAAGAAAGAAAAUAAAAAAAAAAACAUAAAUUAAAGAUUAAAAAGAUAUAACUUGAUAAUAGCACAAGCUCUGAUAUCAAUCAAUAUAGACACCUUUCAAGAUAGACUAAAAUCAUAAUUAAAUAUUUUGCAACUUGAUCCAACAAGAAGUUGCCUUGGAGAACCAAAGUUAUACGCGAUCACCCUCACUUUACAACUAUUAAGAGACAUGAACGAGUAGUAUGAAAUCACAACGAAGUUUAUCAAUCCUUUGAAGAGUUUGCAAGUUCAAUUAAUAACUUAGUAUGGGAAUUACUCAACCAUAAAAUAUAACAACAAUGUCUAUUUCUUUAUUAAAAAAAUAGUCUAACUUCAAAAAGUCUCUUCAAAAAGUAUUUAUACUAAAAAGAAUUCUAGGUCUAAUAGGAUAUUCUUAAUGGACCUACUAGUAGUAGUAGUAAUAAUAAUAAUAAUAAUAAUAAUAAUAAUCUAAUGAACCUAAAUUUAAAUAAAGGCCCUCAUAUAUUUAAAAAGCAUAAUAACUAAAGUAUAAAUAAAACCAAAGUCAUUUUCUUUAUCUGUUGGCAUAAUCGAAACUCAACUUCAAAUGCAUGGUUUUCUUUUGUAUUAAUGAAUUAGAAGUCGUGUCAUAUAUCAAUGGAAAGCUAUGGAUGUCUAUUUUUUUAAUUCAACUGGAAUCGCAUUAAAACUUCAUAUGGAUCUCUAGUUAUGACCAAAACAGAUUUGAAUAUUCUUAUUCCAAAGUUUUUGUAAUGUCUGAAUGCCCACCAACAAGACCUUCUUAAACAUGAAUUAAAUUAAUCAAAGCUUGUUUUUUAUUAUUUAAUAUCUUAUUGAAGUCCACCUUAGCGCAUGUGUCUUAAAGAAGUCUAUUGAAAACCUUUUUAAAUCUCUUAGCUCUAAGUCUUAUCAUUAGACCAACUAGAACCUCUAACAAAUCUCUUGUUGUUACUUGGAUCGUAUCACCAAUGAUCCUAGGUUAUCGCUCAUUGUGUGUUGCAGUCCCAGGUUAGUUUGUUUGUUGUAUUCUCUUAAAUAACCAUAGCUGGAAGAGAUCGCAGAGUAAAACGUGUUUAGGUAAAGGGGGAUAAGAAAAUUCUCUAUCGGAGAGAAACAUUCAGGAUCUUGUGAUAGAAGAGAUGUAGAGAUAGAUUAUAUAUUUGAAAAGAGAUGUUUAGGAGUCGGUGAUAGAAAACAUGUGAAGAUAAAUCGUAAAAUUUAUUUGUCCAUUAAUGGAGAUGGGGAGCUUAUGAAAUCAUAAGAAGAGUGAUCACAUAUCCAUGACUAGUUUUGAAAACCCAUUUCAGAAGCAUAAGCAAAGGUGAUGAUUUUUUUUAAUUAGGAUAAGUAUUGUAGAGAUUUUGGUUAUCUUAUUUAUGGUGAGAAGGAUAUGGAUUGAUAUUCUCCAUUAAUUUAUUAUGUUUAUUUUGAUGAUGAUAUAAUACAAAAAGGACAUUAAUAAUAAUAACGAUGUCAUUAAUGGUGUCCUUGUUGAUAAGUAAGAGGUUGAAUGCAAAAAACAAAACUUGUAACGUGCUAAACAAAAUAAAAUUAUUCAUUUAAAUUAUGUUGAUUCUUUUUGUUGUAAGUUUUCUAUUAUCACUGAUAUAUAGAUGUAUUCAAAAGUUAUAUGGAUACAAGAAAUACUUAUAAAGCAAAUUUUAAGCUUGCAAUUUAUUACUCUAUAAGCAAUGGAAAAGAAAUAAUUUGUUGAUUGUUAUUUCUUAUACAAAUUUUAAGAUGGAGGAAUUGAAAUUGAUGUCUAAAAUAAUUAUACAAUUAAAGCAAAGAAAGAAAAGGAACCGGAGAGUUUUGAUUGGAUGAACAAUUUGAAUUUGAAGUCGAGUUCUUAUCAACCUGGAAAUAUUAAUGCAUGAUAUUUUUUUUUCUAAUAUAUAAUUUUAUGUUAUUGAAGAUAAUUUUUUUUCCCAGCAAACUAUCAUCCUUUCGAUUCCCAGGAUUCAAUGCGGGAAGCCGAUCACCAAAAACCCCGCGCCUUGCCUUCGAAGUGAGUUCCAUAACCACCUUACCAUCCCUUCUUCUAUCCUCAGCCUCCACACAACUACCCCGGCAUUCACCUUGACACACCCGUCUUUCCUUAAAACUCUUCCGUAAUCUCCCCCAAGUUUGGGAAUCCUAAAGUUCAGGAAUCAAACAAACCGACAAGAAUCCCUGAGAACCGAUCGUUAACGUUAGCAGUUAAUGCAUUUUCAUCGUAAAUAAUAAAAACCCUGGAGCCUUUCGACACCAAAAUACUCUCUUCCUACAACAAUCACUAAUGGGCCAAACGAGCUACGGAACUCGCUCCGAACUUGAGAAUGGAAUGGGUCUGGGGCGUAUGUUCAGAGGCAGAGUAGUGGAAACGUUGAAGUGUUAGUGAUUUGAGGAGAAAGGAAAUGCUGUGAAUGGUUCCAGGAGCAUCUAAAAACUACAAUCUUAAAGAUGUGUUUUAUCUCAUAUAUAUUAAAAAAAAAAAAAAGAGGAAUAAAUCUCUUUGACCAUCUAACAUAGCUCUUAGGGUUGGUAAUACCAUGAACUACCAAAUAAACAAACCUUGAAGCUCUUUAGCAUCGCAAUGACAAAGUUGCAAACAAAUCUUAGCUUAACAGUUACAGUGAGCGCGCCACCAACUCAAAGGAAAUGUGUUACCACGUAUGCUAAAAAAUAAAUACAAGUCCCUUUACAUACCAUGAUAAUAAUUACUACAUUCAAGAAGAAUGCUGAGCCACCCUUACUCCAUCACUAUCAGUUGUGAGUUAUGAUCAAUUCAAGCUUACUGCAUCAUUGGUAUAUUACUACGGGCAUGCCCGGGUCGGUCCAAAAUCUAAAUGCUUGUGCUUGCCCAGUACAUAGAAAAUUACUGUGUUAACCAAAAUAAAUGAAGGUUUUCUGCACAAAAAUGUAUCUAACAUUCCGUUUGGUUAUCAACCACAACUGCUUGUACAACACAGUAAUUCAGCAAAAAGGCUCGCAGCAUGAGUGAAUAUGACCAUUUGCAACUACCUAUUCUACUGAUAUUUGUCAAAAGUAUCUACAUGGUUGCUCAUCCAAAGAUGAAAUCCUCUGAAACUAUAAGCUACAUGUUGAGGGGGGGUCUGUACAUGAUAUAGAAGCAAUGAAACUAGAAAAUAACUGUUUUCCACCCGUCACAACCAUGGAUGCUCUUUCUUGUCUUCUUCUCCCUACAUUAAGAUUCAGAAAUUUCUACAUCAGAUGGAGGCAGGUGUGUAGGGUUAGGGAUCCCCUUUCAAAAUUCUACGUGUAAUAGCUCCCAACAUCUCCCUUUAUCUCAAUUAUCAUUAGGUGUAAAAGUGGCAGAGAUAAAUGUAACAAACAUGACAAGCAGGUGACAUAUAAUUCCCACUUUCAGAUUCAGUUGCAGUCACUUUGCAUGAAUGACUUUCACCAACUCGUAGAGAAAGACAAAGAAAGACAGACGGACAGAAACUUGCAUAAGAACAACUGAUGAAAUUCCAUAUUCUACCACUUAGGUUCAAAUGGGUGAAGUGUGAGGCUGUGAGCAGCUUCAGCUAUUUGUAGAUACAGUUAAAGGGGCAGAGCACCAGAAGUGAUUUGACAAGUUCAGUUCAGCAGACAACUAAAAUUUCUUACCUUAUCUCAGAAAAAUCCGGGUUCCGGUUUCUCAUCUUCAUCAUGAUCAGACUCAUAAUCAACACCAUUCCAUACAUGACGCUUUGGUCUUUGAUCCAUGUUCUCUUCAUCCUGUCCAACCACACAUCCAACAAGUUCAAAAAGGAAAGAGAUAAACCCAAGAAGUAAUGGCAAUUGAGUUAUUUCCAGAAAAUUUUCCACAGCCCACCAACCUCUUCCGGAACUUCAGUUGUAGCUGGUGUUGUCUGAAAAGGUACACUGGGAGCAUUAGGCAGUCUAGAAAGUUGCUCUAGCAGUAUGUUCCUGAGAAAGUUGCAAGUCACAAAAUUGAACAAGCAGACAUAAUUACAAAGAAAGUUGGAAGGACAGUAAACAAAUAUUUGUACAGAACUUUCGUAAAACCAUUAUAUCUACAACCACAUUUGGGUACCUAAUUAAGUUCUAUGCAUGAGAGAGAGAGAGAGAGAGAGAGAGAGAGAGAGAGAUACUGAGAGAAAAUUGCAGUUUAAGCACACAGACAUUUUCUUGGAAAAUUUAACCACAGCAUUAACAAAUAGUGAAUGUAACGAAUAUCAGAACAGAUGAAAAACAAUUGUGGUAAUUCAAUAAUUGAUACAGAAUGCCAGGUAACAGAAGUUAAUUUUAGGCCUCAUGAAAUAAUAGACCUCAAACCUGAGUUUUUAGUCAUAAUGCAUGGGUUCUCAGCUAAAUGAUUGUCAAUCUGAGUCAGUCCCAUUCAUAAGCUUCUAUUUAAAUAAAAUAAUUGCCUUCAUUCUUGUGACUAUCCAAGAAAAUAGGAGGAAUUUUGAACAAGAAACUUAUAAAAGAGGCAAUCAGCUAAGAACAAGAACAUAAUUUAGCACAUGAAUGCACCAUGCUCUAA
rnacentral:lncRNA from 1 species